GUGCUCUCUCGUUAGGUGCGGCGUCUACACAGACACAAGUCGUUGCCCUGGCCCGUCGAAAGACGCUCAAGGGUAGACCAGGGCGGUCCGAGCUAAGGCUCGCUCUAAUGCGACUGCGAAAGCUACGCUGUGUAGUGCCAAAGCUCAAGUUGGGGAGAAGCC
rnacentral:sRNA from 1 species